AAAUAGAUACCCGGGUAGUCCACGCCGUAAACGAUGAGUGCUAAGUGUUGGGGGUUUCCGCCCCUCAGUGCUGCAGCUAACGCAUUAAGCACUCCGCCUGGGGAGUACGGUCGCAAGACUGAAACUCAAAGGAAUUAACGGGGGCCCGCACAAGCGGUGGAGCAUGUAGUUUAAUUCGAAGCAACGCGAAGAACCUUACCAGGUCUUGACAUCCCGGUGACCACUAUGGAGACAUAGUUUCCCCUUCGGGGGCAACGGUGACAGGUGGUGCAUGGUUGUCGUCAGCUCGUGUCGUGAGAUGUUGGGUUAAGUCCCGCAACGAGCGCAACCCUUAUUCUUAGUUGCCAUCAUUCAGUUGGGCACUCUAAGGAGACUGCCGGUGAUAAACCGGAGGAAGGUGGGGAUGACGUCAAAUCAUCAUGCCCCUUAUGACCUGGGCUACACACGUGCUACAAUGGACGGUACAAACGGUUGCCAACCCGCGAGGGGGAGCUAAUCCGAUAAAACCGUUCUCAGUUCGGAUUGUAGGCUGCAACUCGCCUACAUGAAGCC
rnacentral:rRNA from 1 species